rnacentral:rRNA from 1 species
UGAUGGCGAGUGGCGAACGGGUGAGUAAUACAUCGGAACGUGCCCUGUAGUGGGGGAUAACUAGUCGAAAGAUUAGCUAAUACCGCAUACGACCUGAGGGUGAAAGUGGGGGACCGCAAGGCCUCAUGCUAUAGGAGCGGCCGAUGUCUGAUUAGCUAGUUGGUGAGGUAAAGGCUCACCAAGGCGACGAUCAGUAGCUGGUCUGAGAGGACGAUCAGCCACACUGGGACUGAGACACGGCCCAGACUCCUACGGGAGGCAGCAGUGGGGAAUUUUGGACAAUGGGCGAAAGCCUGAUCCAGCAAUGCCGCGUGUGUGAAGAAGGCCUUCGGGUUGUAAAGCACUUUUGUCCGGAAAGAAAUCGCACUUACUAAUACUAGGUGUGGAUGACGGUACCGGAAGAAUAAGGACCGGCUAACUACGUGCCAGCAGCCGCGGUAAUACGUAGGGUCCAAGCGUUAAUCGGAAUUACUGGGCGUAAAGCGUGCGCAGGCGGUUGUGCAAGACCGAUGUGAAAUCCCCGAGCUUAACUUGGGAAUUGCAUUGGUGACUGCACGGCUAGAGUGUGUCAGAGGGGGGUAGAAUUCCACGUGUAGCAGUGAAAUGCGUAGAGAUGUGGAGGAAUACCGAUGGCGAAGGCAGCCCCCUGGGAUAACACUGACGCUCAUGCACGAAAGCGUGGGGAGCAAACAGGAUUAGAUACCCUGGUAGUCCACGCCCUAAACGAUGUCAACUAGUUGUUGGGGAUUCAUUUCCUUAGUAACGUAGCUAACGCGUGAAGUUGACCGCCCUGGGGGAGUACGGUCGCAAGAUUAAAAACUCAAAGGAAUUGACGGGGACCCGCACAAGCGGUGGAUGAUGUGAUUAAUUCGAUGCAACGCGAAAACCUUACCUACCCUUGACAUGCCACUACGAAAGCAGAGAUGCAUAGUGCUCGAAGA